rfam:Triticum aestivum genome assembly, contig: Triticum_aestivum_CS42_TGACv1_scaffold_196160_3AL
CAAAUACUCCCUCCGUCCGGAAAUACUUGUCAUCAAAAUGGAUAAAAGGAAAUGUAUCUAGAUGUAUUUUAGUUUUAGAUACAUCUCUUUUUAUCCAUUUUGAUGACAAGUAUUUUCGGACGGAGGGAGUAGAAA